CAGCCGCCGCGGGAAUACAGAGGGUGCGAGCGUUAAUCCGAUUUACUGGGCGUAAAGCGUGCGUAGGCGGCUUCUUAAGUCGGAUGUGAAAUCCCUGAGCUUAACUUAGGAAUUGCAUUCGAUACUGGGAAGCUAGAGUAUGGGAGAGGAUGGUAGAAUUCCAGGUGUAGCGGUGAAAUGCGUAGAGAUCUGGAGGAAUACCGAUGGCGAAGGCAGCCAUCUGGCCUAAUACUGACGCUGAGGUACGAAAGCAUGGGGAGCAAACAGGAUUAGAUACCCCCGUAGUCCCUGUCUCUUAUAC
rnacentral:rRNA from 1 species